CCUACGGGAGGCAGCAGUGGGGGAUAUUGGACAAUGGGGGGAACCCUGAUCCAGCGACGCCGCGUGAGUGAAGAAGUAUUUCGGUAUGUAAAGCUCUGUCAGCAGGGAAGAAAAUGACGGUACCUGAUUAAGAAGCCCCGGCUAACUACGUGCCAGCAGCCGCGGUAAUACGUAGGGGGCAAGCGUUAUCCGGAUUUCCUGGGUGGAAAGGGAGCGUAGACGGCAGCACAAGUCUGGAGUGAAAUGCCGGGGCUUAACCCCGGAACUGCUUUGGAAACUGUGCAGCUAGAGUGCAGGAGAGGUAAGUGGAAUUCCUAGUGUAGCGGUGAAAUGCGUAGAUAGUAGGAGGAACACCAGUGGCGAAGGCGGCUUACUGGACUGUAACUGACGUUGAGGCUCGAAAGCGUGGGGAGCAAACAGGAUUAGAUACCCCUGUAGUC
rnacentral:rRNA from 1 species